rnacentral:rRNA from 1 species
GACGAACGCUGGCGGCGUGCUUAACACAUGCAAGUCGAACGGAAAGGCCCCUUUCUUGGUACUCGAAUGUCGAACGCGUGCGUAACACGUGAGUAACCUUCCCUUGACUUCGGGAUAACUUCAGGAAACUGGAGCUAAUACCGAAUAGGAAUCAUUUCUGCAUGGGGGUGGUUGGAUAGCUUCGGGGGUUUUGGAUGGACUGGCUGCGUAUCAGCUUGUUGGUGUGGUAGUGGCUUACCAAGGCGUUGUCGGGUAGCCGGACUGAGAGGGCGACCGGCCACCUUGGCACUGAGGGACGGCCGAGACUCCUACGGGAGGCAGAAGGGGGGAAGAUUGACCGAUGGGCGGAGGGCGGAUGAAGAAGCGCCGCGUGCGGGAUGACGGCCUUAGGGUUGUAGAACGAUUUCAGAAGGGGCGAAGCUUGUGGUGACGGUACCUGCAGAGGAAGCACCGGCUAACUACGUG